rnacentral:lncRNA from 1 species
UUUUGGAAAUGCUGAGGGUCUUUCUGGAAGCAACCUCUCGAUCCCCAUGGAUAGAGAGAGGUUUGGCUUAUCACUACGAUGCUGUUUUUUCACAAGUCGAAAUUGCUGUUAGAAGUUAGAUCAAAUAAUGCCUUCAACAUUCAACUAAGAUUGUGAAUUUUAGAGGAUAUCUAGUGAAUAAGUGUUGAAUUGCUGGUUUUUUAUUUAUUUUAUGAUAUGUCAGCUCCAAAAUCAGUAAGAGCAUGAUAACCAUGUCUGCUUGUUUAUAGUAUACUUUCUUAUACAUUUUUUUUAU